rnacentral:tRNA from 1 species
GUCUGGAUAGCUCAGUUGGUUAGAGCAUGGUGCUGAUCACGCCAAGGUUGCAGGUUCGAUCCCCGUAUGGGACA